rnacentral:rRNA from 1 species
GACGAACGCUGGCGGCGUGCUUAACACAUGCAAGUCGAACGGAAAGGCCCUGCUUUUGCGGGGUUCUCGAGUGGCGCACGGGUGAGUAACACGGGAGUAACCCGCCCUUGACUGUGGGAUAACUUCAGGAAACUGGGGCUAAUACAGGAUAGGAGCUCCUGCUGCAGGGUGGGCGUUGGAAAGUUUCGGCGGUUGGGGAUGGACUCGCGGCUUAUCAGCUUGUUGGUGGGGUAGUGGCUUACCAAGGCUUUGACGGGUAGCCGGCAUGAGAGGGUGACCGGCGACAUUGGGACUGAGGUACGGCCCAGACUCCAACGGGAGGCAGCAGUGGGGAGCAUUGCACAAUGGGCGGAAGCCUGAUGCAGCAACGCCGCGUGCGGGAUGACGGUCUUCGGGUUGUAAACCGCUUUCGCCUGUGACGAAGCGUGAGUGACGGUAAUGGGUAAAGAAGCACCGGCUAACUACGUG